GUGCUAGCUUUGGCAGCACAUCAUACUAAAAUUGGAAUGACAGAGAGACGAUUAAUUGGCAUGGCCCUAGUGCAAGGAUGACACACAAAUUUUCGAAGCAUUCCAUAUUUUU